GCAGCCAACAUACAGGGAGCUUGCUCCCGACAUGCUGCGGGGAAAGUCCCCGUGCCUUUGGGCAGAGAG
rnacentral:RNase_MRP_RNA from 1 species